rnacentral:lncRNA from 1 species
CUUUAAUGAAAUGCAUCAUAACACAGACAAUUCACAUAAGGGUUGGGUGAACUUGUCACCAAUUAGUCCAAGCUAACAUAGUGUCAGGCCGUAGCAUGGGGUCCUGGUCUUCCUGUCAUACAUACAUUACUUACCAUUAUUCCAGGGCCUCCUCUGGGCUCCUGGUCUUCGAGUCCACAAUCGUGCCAGGCCGUAGAAUGGGGUCCUGGUCUUUCAUUUCCGUGCCAGGCCGUAGAAUGGGGUCCUGGUCUUCCUGUCAUGGACUAAUUGGGUCAUCCAACAUUCACCCACAUCAACAACACAUGAUGCAAUGCGGCAUAUUCGUGAAACUAAUGCAAUCACCCUAUUGCAUAAUCAUGAUGCAUGAAACAUGAUAAAACAUUUAAUUUAAAAGAUUAAGUUUAGUUCCACUCACCUCUGGCAGACUCUGACAACACCGAAGCAGCUGGACUCACUGCUGGGGUCCUCGGUUCCUCGGGUCCGAACCUACACAUGUGGACUCAAAUGAGGGACCAAACAUGCUAGAACAUAACUCUAAACUAUUCCCCAAAAACCCCCUAGAACAUCAUGAAAUAAUCAUAGAAAUACAUGCAUGAAAUGGCUGAACAGGGCACUUUCGGCGGCAGGUUCAGCGGCCGAAAGUCCCUCCAGAGCCGAAAGUCAGGCAGGUUCGGCGGCACCUUCGACUGCCGAAUCUCCCAGACAGAUCCGAAAGUCUUCUUUCGGGGGCAAGCUUCGGCAGCCGAAUGCUGCCUCCACAAGGGGGUUCGGCGGCCGAAAGUUCCUUCGGCUGCCGAACCUGGUUUCUCCCAAAAGGGCAGAAACUUGGCUCACAUGAGCCUCUUGCCUCCCAAAACCUCAAAUCAUGCAUAAAGCUCAACUAGGACAUGCAUACAAGUUCCUAGGGGUCUCAAACAAUCAUAUACCCCAACUACAACACUUCAAACACACACAUCAACACACAUUGUUCAAAACAUCAAUAUUAACCCAUAACUCAACAUAUAUCCUAACAUGCAUUUCUACCCAAAGAACUCAUAAAAUCUUACUUAAAACACAUAAGGAGCUUAAGAUCGGCUCUUACCUCUUGAAGAUCGAGAGGGAGACGACCUAAACUUGGAGAUCCACGAAAAUGAGCUCCUGAG